rnacentral:rRNA from 1 species
AUUGAACGCUGGCGGCAGGCCUAACACAUGCGAGUCGAGCGGAUGAAGGGAGCUUGCUCCUGGAUUCAGCGGCGGACGGGUGAGUAAUGCCUAGGAAUCUGCCUGGUAGUGGGGGAUAACGUCCGGAAACGGGCGCUAAUACCGCAUACGUCCUGAGGGAGAAAGUGGGAGAUCUUCGGACCUCACGCUAUCAGAUGAGCCUAGGUCGGAUUAGCUAGUUGGUGGGGUAAAGGCCUACCAAGGCGACGAUCCGUAACUGGUCUGAGAGGAUGAUCAGUCACACUGGAACUGAGACACGGUCCAGACUCCUACGGGAGGCAGCAGUGGGGAAUAUUGGACAAUGGGCGAAAGCCUGAUCCAGCCAUGCCGCGUGUGUGAAGAAGGUCUUCGGAUUGUAAAGCACUUUAAGUUGGGAGGAAGGGCAGUAAGUUAAUACCUUGCUGUUUUGACGUUACCAACAGAAUAAGCACCGGCUAACUUCGUG